CGCGCGGUUAUGUACAAUAGGUAUUCUUCAAAUCUACAAUGAGUGAAAUAUUUGAUACUGAGAGGUUUUAUUGCUAAAAUAGAAACGUUUGAAUGCAUAUGGCGUAGUGAUUCGCCUAUGUAUUUAAAGAGGAAUGGAAAAGAAAAUUCUUGGAAUGCUGUAGCGUCAUCAAUGUAUGAUGAUUGACAAGUGUAUAAUGAA